GCCUAGCCGUAAACAUUGAUAGAUUAAUACAACCCCUAUCCGCCCGGGAACUACGAGCACCAGCUUAAAACCCAAAGGACUUGGCGGUGCUUUAGAUCCUACUAGAGGAGCCUGUUCUAGAACCGAUAACCCCCGUUCAACCUCACCUUUCCUUGUUUUUCCCGCCUAUAUACCGCCGUCGUCAGCCCACCCUAUGAAGGUUUAAAAGUAGGCUAAAUUGGCAUAGCCCAGAACGUCAGGCCGAGGUGUAGCGUAUGGAAAGGGAAGAAAUGGGCUACAUUCCCUAGUCUAGGGCACACGAAUAAUGUGAUGAAACGCACAUCUUGAAGGAGGAUUUAGCAGUAAGCAGGAAAUAGAGCGUCCUGCUGAAAUUGGCUC
rnacentral:rRNA from 1 species